UACGUAGGGGGCAAGCGUUGUCCGGAAUUAUUGGGCGUAAAGAGCGCGUAGGCGGUCCGUUAAGUCGGCUGUGAAAGUCCAGGGCUCAACCCUGGAAAGCCGGCCGAUACUGUCGGACUAGAGUCCGGAAGAGGCAAGUGGAAUUCCCGGUGUAGCGGUGAAAUGCGCAGAUAUCGGGAGGAACACCAAUUGCGAAGGCAGCUUGCUGGGACGGUACUGACGCUGAGACACGAAAGCGUGGGUAGCAAACAGG
rnacentral:rRNA from 1 species